GAUCCUGGCUCAGGAUGAACGCUGACAGAAUGCUUAACACAUGCAAGUCUACUUGAACUUCGGUUUGGGUGGCGGACGGGUGAGUAACGCGUAAAGAACUUGUCUCACAGUUAGGGACAACAUUUGGAAACGAAUGCUAAUACCUGAUAUUAUGAUUUUAGGGCAUCCUAAGAUUAUGAAAGCUAUAUGCGCUGUGAGAGAGUCUUUGCGUCCCAUUAGCUAGUUGGAGAGGUAACG
rnacentral:rRNA from 1 species